GACGAACGCUGGCGGCGUGCUUAACACAUGCAAGUCGAACGGUGAUGCCCCAGCUUGCUGGAGUGGAUCAGUGGCGAACGGGUGAGUAACACGUGAGCAACCUGCCCCAGACUCUGGAAUAAGCGCUGGAAACGGCGUCUAAUACUGGAUACGAAACUGGCCCGCAUGGGCAUGGUUUGGAAGGUUUUUCGGUUUGGGAUGGGCUCGCGGCCUAUCAGCUUGUUGGUGAGGUAAUGGCUCACCAAGGCGACGACGGGUAGCCGGCCUGAGAGGGCGACCGGCCACACUGGGACUGAGACACGGCCCAGACUCCUACGGGAGGCAGCAGUGGGGAAUAUUGCACAAUGGGCGAAAGCCUGAUGCAGCGACGCCGCGUGAGGGAUGACGGCCUUCGGGUUUUAAACCUCUUUCAGCAGGGAAGAAGCGAAAGUGACGGUACCUGCAGAAGAAGCACCGGCUAACUACGUG
rnacentral:rRNA from 1 species